rnacentral:rRNA from 1 species
UGAGGAAUAUUGGUCAAUGGGCGAGAGCCUGAACCAGCCAAGUAGCGUGAAGGAUGACUGCCCUAUGGGUUGUAAACUUCUUUUAUAAAGGAAUAAAGUCGGGUAUGGAUACCCGUUUGCAUGUACUUUAUGAAUAAGGAUCGGCUAACUCCGUGCCAGCAGCCGCGGUAAUACGGAGGAUCCGAGCGUUAUCCGGAUUUAUUGGGUUUAAAGGGAGCGUAGGUGGACAGUUAAGUCAGUUGUGAAAGUUUGCGGCUCAACCGUAAAAUUGCAGUUGAUACUGGCUGUCUUGGGUGCGGUUGAGGCAGGCGGAAUUCGUGGUGUAGCGGUGAAAUGCUUAGAUAUCACGAAGAACUCCGAUUGCGAAGGCAGCCUGCUAAGCUGCAACUGACAUUGAGGCUCGAAAGUGUGGGUAUCAACAGG